AGAUGUGUGUGUUUGUUUUUGAUUUUUAAUUAGUGUAUUUUUUAUUUUAACAUGGAUUGGGAGUUGUCCGGUAGAAUAUCCAUAUGAAAUAAUUGGUCG
rnacentral:lncRNA from 1 species